AGUCGAGCGAACAGAUAAGGAGCUUGCUCCUUUGACAUUAGCGGCGGACGGGUGAGUAACGGUGGGUAACCUACCUAUAAAACUGGUGAUAACUUCGGGAAACGCGGCAGCUAAUACCGAGAUAACAUUUGGAACCGCUAGGGUCUCUAAAGUGAAAGAUGGUUUUGCUAUCACUUAUACAUGGACCCGCGCCGUAUUAGCUAGUUGGUAAGGUAACGGCUUACCAAGGCGACCAUACAUACCCGACCUGAGAGGGUGAUCGGCCACACUGGAACUGAGACACGGAUCCAGACUCCUACUGAAGGCAGCAGUAGGGAAUCUUCCGCAAUGGGCGAAAGCCUGACGGAGCAACGCCGCGUGAGUGAUGAAGGGUUUCGGCUCGUAAAACUCUGUUAUUAGGGAAGAACAAAUGUGUAAGUAACUGUGCACGUCUUGACGGUACCUAAUCACAAAGCCACGGCUAACUACGUGCCAGCAUCCGCGGUAAUACGUAGGUGGCAAGCGUUAUCCGGAAUUAUUGGGCGUAAAGCGCGCGUAUGCGGUUUCUUAAGUCUGAUGUGAAAGCCCACGGCUCAACCGUGAAGGGUCAUUGUAAACUGGGAAACUUGAGUGCAGAAGAGGAAAGUGGAAUUCCAUGUGUACCGUUGAAAUGCACAGAGAUAUGGAGGAACACCAGUGGCUAACGCGACUUUCUGGUCUGUAACUGACGCUGAUGUGCGAAAGCGUGGGGAUCAUACAGGAUUAGAUACCCUGGUAGUCCACGCCGUACACGAUGAGUGCUAACUGUUAAGGGGUUUCCGCCCCUUAGUGCUGCAGCUAACGCAUUAAGCACUCCGCCUGGUGAGUACGACCGCAAGGUUGAAACU
rnacentral:rRNA from 1 species